UACGUAGGUACCGAGCGUUGUCCGGAUUCAUUGGGCGUAAAGAGCUCGUAGGCGGCCACUCAAGUCGAAUGUGAAACCUCGAGGCUUAACCUCGAGCCUGCAUUUGAUACUGGGCGGCUAGAGUCUGGUAGGGGGAUCUGGAAUUCCUGGUGUAGCGGUGGAAUGCGCAGAUAUCAGGAGGAACACCGGUGGCGAAGGUGGGAUCCUGGGCCAGUACUGACGCUGAGGAGCGAAAGCGUGGGGAGCGAACAGG
rnacentral:rRNA from 1 species